CCUACGGUGGGCAGCAGUGAGGAAUAUUGGUCAAUGGGCGCGAGCCUGAACCAGCCAAGUCGCGUGAAGGAUGACUGCCCUAUGGGUUGUAAACUUCUUUUAUAAAGGAAUAAAGUGAGGCACGUGUGCCUUUUUGUAUGUACUUUAUGAAUAAGGAUCGGCUAACUCCGUGCCAGCAGCCGCGGUAAUACGGAGGAUCCGAGCGUUAUCCGGAUUUAUUGGGUUUAAAGGGAGCGUAGAUGGGUUGUUAAGUCAGUUGUGAAAGUUUGCGGCUCAACCGUAAAAUUGCAAUUGAUACUGGGAGGAUUGAGUACAGUUGAGGUAGGCGGAAUUCGUGGUGUAGCGGUGAAAUGCUUAGAUAUCACGAAGAACUCCGAUUGCGAAGGCAGCUUACUAAGCUGCCACUGACGUUGAUGCUCGAAAGUGUGGGGAUCAAACAGGAUUAGAUACCCCUGUAGUC
rnacentral:rRNA from 1 species